rnacentral:ncRNA from 1 species
ACGUCCCGCCUCGUGAUCGUCUUCUCAACUUUCGCCGGGGCGGGCGGAUGAGGGAAAGGCCCCCGUGAGGACGUGACUCACGGGGGCCUUUC